rnacentral:RNase_P_RNA from 1 species
CGAGUUGGCUGGGCGGCCGCGGAACCUGACGGUUUCGAGGAAAGUCCGGACUUCACAGAGCAGGGUGAUUGCUAACGGCAAUCCGGGGUGACUCGCGGGACAGUGCCACAGAAAGCAGACCGCCAGCAAUGGUAAGGGUGAAAGGGUGCGGUAAGAGCGCACCAGCAUUCCGGGUGACCGGAGUGGCUAGGCAAACCCCACCCGAAGCAAGGCCAAGAGGCCGUGCCCAGCACGGCUGCGCAGGCGCUCGAGGGCUGCUCGCCCGAGCCUGCGGGUAGGCCGCUCGAGGUACCCGGCGACGGUGUACCCAGAUGGAUGGUCGCCACCGCACUGCGCCGGUCCACCGGAGCGGUGCGGGACAGAAUCCGGCUUACACGCCAACUCGUUCG